rnacentral:lncRNA from 1 species
CCUGGUUCCUCCUCCGCAGAACCCGCCUCCACUCACUCCUCCUCCGCCUCCAGCGCCACCUCGUAUCUCCUCAUUCCCGACAUGUCCUGGGCUCCGAACGUCUCCUGGGGAGCGGCAUGAUUGAAUCAGGGAUUCCCUAGCCCCAGGUCCCCUUCUCCGUCAUUCUCAGGACGAGGCUGCCCAGUUCUCAGGUUGUUGUGGUGGUAUUACUACUACUCAGCAAGAUUCUGGUUUUACUUCUCAUCUUGGGAGUUACCAUCAAGACGUUAGGUAUGGCUGUGUGACCCACUUUGGCCAAUGAAAUGUGAACAGAAAUGGCAUAUGUCACUUGUGGACAAAAACAUUUAAGCAAGAAUUUCCCUUGCUGUCUUCCUUGACUGGAGCGACCAUGGAAGCCUGUGUUGAGAUGAAGAGGCUGCCAACAGAUCAAAACACUUGAAAACUUGAGCAGCCACAUGGACUACAACUGUGCUGGAGACUUGCCUGGACCCACAGCAGGCUUGACAUUGCCCAGACUGGUCUCAAAUUCCUGGGCUGAAAUGAUCCUCCUGCUUUGGCCUCCCAAAGUGCAGGGAUUACAGUCAUGAACCACUGAGCCUGGCCCAUCUUGGCACUUUUGAUCGUGGACUUCUAACCUUCAGAACUGUGAGAAAAUAAAUUUCUGUUGUUUAAGCUA